AGGCCUCUGCAAGAUCUGAAUGAUGUGAAGAGAGGUUGGAAUGCAAUGCGCUGGGUGAUUGAACAGUUCACUCAGAGCAGCGCACGUUGGCCCUCUGAAAGCAUAAGUCCUUUUCGCGCUCGCAUGAGCAGUGACUUGCAUGGGAGGGCAGCCGCAUGUCGAGACCGGUGGCAUCUUAGGAGGGAUUGAAAGUGCGAGACGAGGCAUCGAGCCAAGAUACGGGGAAUUUUCUUCCUUUCCUCCGCAUCUCGUGUGCCUUUUGUUCAUGCUGUGCAUCCAAUUUAGCAUGGAGAAAAAGAAAUAAAAGGGCCUGCCAAAAGGCUAGACAGCAUUUUGAAAAUCAAGAAAGGCUGGGUGGCUUUACUUUAAGCACAAUCUGAUGCAAUACCUGUUUAGAAAAAUGGCCUCUUUCUCGCGUGUUUUCUUGCUGCUUUAACAUAUUCCAGGGCAAGAGAAAAGCAGAUUCUUGAAUGAUGCUGGGCUAGGUGAGGUGAGGGAGGGGAGAAGCAAGCACUGGCUGCCACAACAAGUCACAGGUCAUUUUGGCAAAGGUGAGAGCAUCAUCAAUAAUUCUCUCUAAAGAGCUCAUCAAAGUCUAUCAUCUGAUUUUUAAAGGUAUCAAGAAGAAAAGGGGAUUGAGAGAGUGUGUGUGGACCCAAGGGAAUCGGAAAAGUACUCCGGCAAGAUGCCAAGGUAACCCACAUGAGGAAUUCCUAUGCAUCUGUCAGUGAAGUAACAUGCUUGCCCUGGGCAGGCACAUAAUUGCAGCAUAAUUACCUGCCCAUUGGGGGUUUGGCUUCCUGUUCUUUUACUUUAUUUCAUUUCAUUUCCUUUAUUUUUAUUUUUACUGUAAGUAAAGUUUGGGAUUUGUUGUACCAAUGCCAUAUUUUGAGUUGAAUGCACGGAGCAUCCAUCUUCUUUCAUUUGUCAGGUAAAAGAAAAUUACAGCGAAUAAUUAGGACGGUACCGAUGUUUCUGUGCUGCAAUUGUUCUUCAUUGAUCCUUUUUCCUGCUAGAGUUCUUGUGCGCUCUAAUGGUUUCACCAUGGCCUGUCCAUGACCAAUCCUUGGGAAUCUUGCUUUGUUGACUUUCAGAGAGAAGUUAAAGCUGUGGUGCCCUCAGGAA